CCAACCGUGCCAAGCUACUGUGACCCGGAAUGGAGGAUGCUGAUGGAGCAGUGUUGGGCUCCUGACCCAUUUGUUCGACCUUCCUUCCCAGAGAUAGCCAGACGUCUCCGCACCAUGUCCACCUCUGCAGCAAAAGCCCACGCGGCCAAUCACCAAGUCCACAAGUAAUCUACUAUAUGUUCAUUAUUACCGGUACGUAAUUCCCUCUUGUAAAAGUUUGUGUAUAAAAAACAUCGCUGCGUCUUCUUUCGGAUUUGAGAGUGUUGAUUUGUACAAGAAGUCCUAAACAUGUAUCCAUAUUUGUAUAGCCAUUAUUAUUAUUAUUAUUGAGUGUAAGUAAAUUGGUUUUGGUACGAUGACAUUGCUCUUCUUCUGUAAUUUUGAGUUUUUUUCUUCCAAUGAAAAAGCAAUCUAGUAAAUGCAUGAUUUUUGGUAUAAUAAUUUUAUACAAAUGUCUUAAGAUUUAUUCAUUUUUACUGCAUGAAACUAGUACACCAUCAGCCAUUUCUGCAUUUUGUAGUUUUUAAAAUUUAUUUCGUCCAGUUUAAAACUGAAAAUUAUUAAUUUUGUGUAAUCAAAUAUGAAUUUAUAAAGUAUAUUAGUUUUUUAUACAUAGAAAAUCUGACCGACAUUCAAAAGGCUCCCUUGAGGAACAUUGAAGAUUACACUAUGUUCUCUACAAAUCUUCCUUAGAAACGCGUACACAUAGUCAAUGGCUAUCUUCUUGUAGAACCUCGCUUGCCUCCUAGCUCGAAUCACCGUGUUCCCCAUUAUGUGCACCACUCCCGCAUCCCUGCACCUAUUUAUGAACUCCAGCUCGUCUACUCCACCGCUUAUAUAAUGAGGUUGGAUGUAUUAAAUGGUAAUACCAUUGCUUAUAUGCGGAAGGUUUACUCGUAGCCCACCUGCAACUGAGGGAAACACUUUAAUUUAUGAUCCAAUCACUAGCUUUGGGAGCACUCAUAUGUUCAAGUUGCAUGUACUAAGGCCUUGAUUGUUUCAACCGUAAGAUUUAAACUUCAUUUUCAAGAAACAUAACAGUUUUUUCAUUUUUUCAUUAAAAAAAGUCAAAGGUUCGAUCGUGCGACGGAUUACUUGGAAUGAUAAUUGAUUGUUUGUUUAUGCUGUCGAUGCGAUGUCGUGGCCCUCGUGGGUUCAUUGGUUCGAAACUCUACAACGAAAAGUUUGCUGUAAAGACAUAUCCUGAUGACUGAUGUAAAGUUGGACAAACGUUUUCUCCUUUCCACCUUCUUCUUUCAACAAAUUAAAUUAAAUUAAUAAAAUUAAUUGAUGUUUCUAUAAAAAUCUUGAUUUACAUUUCAAUCGUUCUAUAAGGUUAACGAUAAAACAAAUCUUGUUACUAUGAUAUUUCAAGUUUCCUUUCCAAUUUAAUGAUCUCAUCAUUAAUUUAAAAUAUAUUUUACGUUUUGAUGAUUCCACCAUAUCAUCAAACUUUUUAUGAAGCUAUAUAUAUUUUUUUUGUCAACAUGAAGCUAUAUUUUAAUGGUGAAGAAUAAAAUAAAAGUAAGUUAAAAAAAUUAAGAAGGAAAUAAAAUAAGUUGUGUUUUUACCUUUUACUUUAAUGUUAUGUAGCAUAAAAAUCGAACGGUGAACCUGGAAUUCGAUUCCCGUUAGCCACCAGAUAAUUUAACAUUGCAUUUAUGGGAUCUACGGAAUAGUCGCUAGAUACUGUAAUUAAUUCAAAAAAAAUUCUUUGGCAUGUGCAUAUAUAUAGAUUGAAAAUAUUUGAUCUUUUCGUUUUUCUCGUUUGAUUGGUACAUUAGUAACAUUACUAAAAGUAGUAAAGCGUAUAACAUUUUAAUCCAAUUUACUAGGUUAAGACUAGCGCUUUGUGUAUGGUGAAUGUAUUUUAACGAUAACAAUAUUACAUAUUAAUAAAUAGGUUGCAAAAUAUAUAAUUAUAGGUAAAGAUCUACGUUUUGCGCAAAAUGAAUGUGUAUAUAUAAAAUAAUUAAAUUAAAUUUAUAUUUUAAUUUUUAAUUUUUUUAUUGGACAUUAUAUAGAAAAUUUAUAAUAUGUAAAUUUUAAUUAUAUACAUAUAUUACAUAUAGAAUGAUUUGGUUUGUGAAUUAUAUAUUCAAUUAUCUUUAUCUAAUAGAGAUGAGACAUGUGGAACUUUGAAGAUUAGAUAUGUUAAUAAGUUGUUAAUAAAUAAUGAUGGGUUGAUGAACUGUUUAAAUAAUCGUUGGACUUUAGCUAUGUCAAGAGCUCACAGAUUUAGUGGCUCUACUCUUUAAACUCAUUUGGUGAAGUAACAUAUACUCGUAUCUUGGUUGUUUUUAUAUAAUUAGCUUAAUGUCUAAUUUAAAUAUUAGAUAUUAAAUAUAUAACUCUAAAAUUCUGUUACAUAAUCAUAACUGAAAGUGCCUAAUGACAUUCAAAUAAGUUAAGAAAAGUGCUGAGCAAAAAGUGCUCUAUAGUGUAAUAAAAACUCAUAAUGUAAACCUGAAUGUAAAAAAUUCAAGAAUAUAUCACAUUCAAAAAUGUGAACCGUGUGAUGUUGUGUAAAGAAUCGCUGCUGACCGCUAAUAUUAAUAAAUCAAUAUCAUGAACACGGACGGAACAUGACUUGACUGUUUGGUUUGAGAAUUUAAAUUUAUAUAUCGAAAGUUUAAUGGUAUUUGUUAGACUAUAAAAUGAUUUUUUUACGGGAUUACUUGGGAUAAGAAAUUAUUAUUCGAAACUUUCAAAGACUAGUACAACUAAUGCUUAUUUAAUUUGUUUAAUUGUUUCUCGUUAUCCUUGAAAUAUAUUUAUUAAUAAAAAUUAUAUAAACAACACUAAUGUUCUUACAAAUAUUAUUAUUUAAAAAAAUAUAAAUUAUGUUUACAUAUAAAAUUUAACAAAUCAUAUAAAAAUAUAAGUAAAAAUUAAUAAAAGUACAAGUAAAAAUUAAUAAAAAUAUAAGCAAAAAUAUAGAAACUUUAAGUAAAAUAUAUUUUUUAAAUGGAGAUUUUUUUAUUAACAAUUGAUUUUAGUAAAUUAUGAUUGAUUAUGGUGAAUAUAUUGGUGAUGAUAUUAACAAAUAUUGCUAUACAAUUAAUUUUAUAAAAUUAUCUUUAAUAACUAUUAAUGUAUUUGAAUUGGUUAAAAAUCUAAUGUAAUAAUUUAUAUUAUAUAUAUAUAUUUAUAUUUAUAUAUUUAUAUAUGAUUAUUAAGAAAAAUAUAAAAAUAUGUUGUUAAAAGUUUGGUUAGGGUAUAUAAACAUGUUGGACCGAGUAGAAAUGACAAUUAAAAUGUUGAUUGUAAGUAAUUAAAUAUAUCAGAUGUUGAAUUCUUAUUAUUAUGUAUACAUGUAUGCAGUAAACACAUUAACAUGAUUAAUAUGCAGAAUCAAAACAUCGGGGUUUGGUGGCUCGGAGUGAUCCUUGAGCACGGCAUCCUAGAGCCCCUAGGAUAUUGGCCUGUAAUACUUUUUAACCGCCUAAACGAUUACGCAGAACGGGUGGAAUGGGGUAGUGAAAUCAUCAAUCAGGAAAAUCUCGGUUGGCAUACCACGAUCGAAAUGGGAUCCGGAUAUAUGUCUGACAGCGUGUAUGGGAAAGCCGCCUAUAUGCGGAACCUAGAAGUCGCAUUGUCGGCAAAUGUCUUCAAGCCGCUCGAAGACCUCUUCGUAGGAUCUACUCACCCAAAUUAUUACCGAUCAAAGAAGUCAAACAGUUCUGCGUUUGGGGCCAACUUCUAUUACGGAAGUCCUAAACAACUCUUGCUCGCAGUCCAUCUUAAGUUGCACUCGUCUCUUGUUUAUAUAUGUUUCGCUGUGUGUUUUCUACUCUAGUUUCUUUUGGUUUGUUUGUUGUAUUUUGUUGGGGAGUUAAUAUGUUAUUUUGCUACAUGUAAGAGUUUCUUAUAGUAUGAACGUCGAGACAUAUAUUUUAACUCUGAUGUAAUAAUUGGAAAUGGUCUAAUUUCUGGAAUGAACUUGACCAAUCCAACAGAAAAAAAAAAAAGAAACCGGUUUUGGAGACACAACAAAGAAGAUGAGAGGUUAACCCUGUUUGGUCCUCAAUACCGGCGGAUAUUAACCGGUUUACUAUAUAUGCAACCGUGUAUAGAACCAACAAACCAAAACUAACUUAAAUAACGGACAAAAAAACGUGACGGCAAGGCUCGGAUCGGGAAGCUAUCAUGGUGGCAGAAUGUGAAUGUAUAUGGGAGUCAAAUUGGUCUUGUGGAUUUAUCCAUUCAGUAACUGCAAAAAUACGCCUCGUUUCACAUCCGAAGCUAUUGAAUAGAAACUCAUUAGUGAUUUCCAAAUAAACCAAAGUUCCCUAAUCCCUUUCGUUUCUUCUACUCAGUUAACUUGUAUUCAUCUCGCAUAUCUUUUCAUCUAAACGUAUGCUUAAUUUCUUCUUUAUCACUCUCUAAAAAGCAUUUUAAAUUAUUACUUGCAAUGAUGAAGUAUCGAACAGUUGAACAGUGACUAAUUAAGGCUUAAAAUUUUAGAGAGAGUAAGACACUAUCUCAAACACUGGCAGAAAACAACUGAAGCCUGAGUUGUAAUUCACUUUUUAUGACAUGUGCAGAGUAACAAUGAGGUCAAAAAGAAUAGCUGUUGGGUCCGUUUAAAGUGUAACACUCUAAUACUAGUACCAAGUACGAGAAAACUAAUGGAAUCUACAAGCAAAGAAGUAUUUCAAAAUCUAUCUUCCUUACGAAUCUGUUACCAAUGCUUUUCCAAACCGAAAAGGUUAGGCCACUUGAGGUGGAUAUCUCCUUCUGUAAGUCUCGGGGCCAAGAAGUUGAGCGAGUUCAAGCUCCUCCACAAUCUGAUGACUCUCACUCAAGAGACAAAGCAAAUUUGGUUAUACGGAAGUGACUAGACCAGUUUGGUUUGUGCAUAGACAUGAGCAGUCUGGUUCAGUAGAAUUUCUUAAGACAAGACGUUUUUCACGGUUACUCAUUAGCUUGAUGAGUGGUAGCUUCUGUGAGACUUGACGCCAGAUCUCCUUCACUGCUCCAUUUGGGUUAUCAUAAUCAAAAUACCGUCUUACCUAUAUGCCCCAUCAUCAUUCACGUGUGAGAAAACGUCUACUUAAAAGAGGUUAGAAGUUGAAUAAAUAGAGAAACGUACCUGUUUCAUCUCUCUUUGAUACUCAAGAACCUUCUCGGUUCCUAUUCUCCUCAGCAUCCCAACCAAGAACCCUGGCUCCAGAGCCACACCGGCCUCGACGAAAAUCGAAAACUUUCUGUAAUCUAUAACAUCUUCAAAAGGCAACUCGAUGCUAUCGCUUACAAUGACGGGCACACACAAGCUGACUAUGGAGUCAAAGAGUCUGCAUGCGGAUGGAGUGUCACCCGCAGGGUUUAGACAGAACUUUGAAGUAUGCAUUCCUUUCGUAGCCGCUCGUCGGUUCUCUCUUGAUUGAGUCCCAUGUUUGAUGGUUACAUCUUCUUCCUUUUCAAGUACUUGGAAUAGCAAAUCACGAACUUUCCCGCCCUAAAGACAGCCAAAAAAAAAAAAAGCAACUCAUAUUGUUCGUUUUGCUGACUAAUCGCAAAACAUUAUAUACAUGGUUAAAUAUUUUAGCGAUUUAAAAUUAAUUGUAACUAGUCCUGCUACGGACAAACAACAUUUGAUUGUAGAUCGCAACGACAUUCAAACCAACAUGCCCAUUGAUUUAAACUUACAUCUUUGCGGUAUCGAUUCCCCAUGAAGAAGAGCAACGUGCUGCGAGCCUCCACGCCAAUCUCUCCAGCGAAGAGAUUGACCCUAUGAGAGUAAGGUAUCACCACAUCUUUAACGAACGAUCCUUGAUCAGGCCUAAUCCUCCCAAAAUCCGCCACCAGGAGAACCGCGUUCUUGACCCGGUCCAAGAUCCGAUACAGCGCGUUCGGAUCACCCGCGGGAACCACGUGAUCUCUCCCUUUGUUCCUCCUCCACCACUCUUGGCUCUCAAGCCAGUCCAUCAACUCCUCCUGCAUCUUCUCGUCGCUGUAACCCGACCCGGGAUCCACGGGUCGACCCGCGUUCACGAUUAAACUGAGGGAAGAGAACACGGGGACGUAGAAAAGAUCAGCGUCGGCAGGAUCCGACACGCGGGUGAUCGGAGACCCGGGUCGAUCCGCCUCGGGUCGGUUUAGAUCCGAGAAGAGGUACCACUCGUGCAUAUGCUGGUGACCCGGAUACUUGAGCGUGGUGGGGUUCUUCAGCCCAUUGCGGACGAUUGCGUGCUGUUCGAUUACACCGUGAGUGAAUCUGUUGGGGAGAUCGUACAUGUAAACUUUAACUUUAGGAUGAAUCAGAGCACGUGGUUGUUCAUCUUCUUCGCGGAUGAGAUCGGAGGAGGAAGGGAGGGAGGGGCUGACGGAGGCGUUGAGGAUGACGUAGAUGGCGAUGACGGAGACGACGGCGAUGGCUGCUCGUUUGAGAAGGGAUGAUUUACGCGCCAUUGUUGGAAGCUUGUGUUAAGGGUUUUCAAGGGAGAAGAGAUUGAAGAAAUGUAACUUAUUAGCAGCUAAAGUCAAAGACUUGUGAAGAUGACUCGUCGUGAUUUAGGUUCGGUCCAAAUCUUCCAUAACAGCUUAUUUAUUUAUUUGUAUCAAUAGUUUUCAUUUUAAUAUUAAUUUAUUUUCUAUUAAAAAUAUUCUUAGAAAUUUAUCUUUUAUCAUGGACAUUUACUUUGUGAUCAUUUUACUUGUAUGAUUGUAUCUAGUAUGGGGCAAAAAAAUCAAAACAUAUAUAAAUGUCAAUAUAUAUAUAUCCACAUAUUAUAUUACAUAAAAUAAAAAGGCAAAUUUGUAUAUUAUAUAUUGUAUAAUAGUUGUAAAAAAAAUAUUGUAUAAUAUAAUCUGAAUCUAUACUAUAUUAAAAAAGGGUUAUAUGAGCAUCAGAGAGGAUGUCUACGUCCGACGAUAAAAUCUACCAAUCAAAGAUAGUUUUUCUGCCACGUCACAAUCAGGCUUCCCAAAAAAAUUGUGUCUAUCUGAAUCGUCUUUUCAUCUUUUUUCCUCAUACAAAACGUGAAGUUUCUUCAGAUGAUUGUCUUCUCAACUUCCAUAUCAUCCUCCAUCACUCAUAAUUAUAUAUUGAUCCAACCCAUAGAGACACUAACAAUAGAUUGAUUCGUCUGUUUGAUUCAAAAUCAUCACCUCCACUCAGUUCUAAAUACAAAUUUCCCAGUUUCAGAAUUCAGAUCGACCUGGGAGUACUCAACCGACGAAUAAUAACAGCCGGUAUCACUUUGGAUCGGCCGUUCAACCGUGAAUAAUUAUAAAAGAGCCCCUGGCGGCAGUGUUUACCGGCAAAGUCGUUGCUCAGGGUGGUGAAGAGAAAACAUGGGAGUGCGAGGGCUUUGGGAGCUACUCGCUCCCGUUGGUCGCCGCGUCUCUGUCGAAACCCUAGCCGGGAAACGAUUGGCUAUCGGUACACAUGAUUAAUCAACCUUCAUUGUACCUCGCUACUAAGAACCACCGUUUCUUAGCCGAAAAAUGUAAAAAAAAAUAAAAUGUCAAAUCAUGAGUUAACAGACCGUGGCUAAUCAUGCCUUUAGUUUCAUGGUUGGAAGUGGAUUUGCAUGAGUAGGGCCCAAAAUUUAUUAAGAAAAAUAUAUUAAUUGAUUAUUUACUGUAAAUCUCAAGGCUCUGUGCUUGAGUAGUGCCUUUUUUCCUGAAGAAUAUGUUUGAUGCUCUAGUAAACUUACUACUCUUUCCUCCAUUUCAGGCACAUCAAUGAGAGUCUGAGUUGUUCAUGUUCCAAGUUCUAUUCUGCAGCCAAAGCGCUGGAUGUUUAACAAAGGAUGCAUAUGCGAAGAUUUUACUUGGGCUAUGAUAUGUGGACUCCAAGCGUCUGUGAAGGAGCUGGUAAACUAGAUGGAUAAAGAUAACAUGGAUCAAGCAAAGGGUUAUGAACACGUUCGGUAUACUGCCGCCCCUGACCCUAGGAGUGAGGGGAUUGGCUCUAUGAAUCAAAGGUUUUCUCAAGAUUCUUCAACUAAUGUUAACAUGAAUGUACGACCUCCAGAUUAUGCUAUUCCCACCCCUGCUCGGCCAGUGCUGAACUACUCCAUACAGACUGGUGAAGAAUUUGCUUUUGAGUUUAUGAGAGAUAGGGUGAUUAUGAAACCGCAGUUCAUACCCAAUGUGUACGGUGAGCCGCCCAGUGGUAUGCCUGUUUCUGUUAAUUUAAGUGCUAUGGGAAUGGUUCUUCCGGUGUCAGAGAGUGGCUCUAACCCCACGGUGCUUAGCGCAGCAGAGAAACGCCAUACCUUUGAGCAAGAGAGAAAACCUCCUGCUAGAAAGGAAGAUAAGAGCUACCAUGAGCUUGUCAAGUCAGACCCGGCUAUUUCUUCAAGAAAUGACACUGGCCAAAGGGUUCACAGUUUGGUUUCCUCUAGAGCUUCUGAUAGCUCUUUGAACCAGGCAAAGUUCUUGUGUAGUUUUGGGGGUAGAAUCAUACCCCGCCCCAGAGAUCAGAAACUUAGAUAUGUAGGCGGUGAAACGCGUAUCAUACGGAUUAGCAAGGAUAUUUCUUUCCAAGAACUCAUGCAUAAAAUGUCAGAAAUGUUCCCUGAAGUACGUACCAUAAAAUAUCAGCUUCCAGGCGAAGAUCUUGAUGCCUUAGUCUCUGUAUCUUCUGAUGAGGAUUUACAAAACAUGAUGGAGGAAUGUAACGUAUUUGGUAAUGGAGGAUCUGAGAAGCCCAGGAUGUUCUUGCUUUCAAGCAGUGAUAUAGAGGAGGGUCAGUUCGGUAUGGAAGCUGCAGAGGGUGAUUCUGAGGUUCAGUAUGUUGUUGCUGUCAAUGGGAUGGAUCUUGGUUCACGUAAAAGUUCCCUUGGUAUAACUGCUCCAGGGAACAAUUUGGAUGAACUACUUCACAGUAAUACUGACAGGGAGAUCAGUCGAGCUGCCACAGAACCAGCAGUAGCUUCGGUUGCUCCCUUGGCUGGUAAUGAGUCUUUGUCAGCGGGCCAAACUUCUCAACCCGUGGCAGGUUUUUCUACUGGUAAUGAACCAUUUUCACAGCCUUAUCUAGGACAGCAAGUGCACUUCACCGGACUUGGUAACCACCAAGUUUACACAUCAGCUCACAUGGCAAGCAUCGGCUAUAUAGAUGAGAAGGGGUCUGCUCCGUUGCAUGUUCAACCACAGCCUCAUUUUAUUCCUUAUUCUGUGAAUCCUGAAACGCCUCUUGAAGUUGUGGCGCCUCACUAUCCACAUAAACCAGAGCAAGGAGUUUUGCAUGAUGAGCAGAUCUACCAUGUACAAGAUUCAGAAGCUUCAACAAAAGAGGCCAAAAUGAGAAGAGAUGACUCGUUUAAGAAGGUAACUGAUCCUGCUAAUGUAUCUACUGUCGGGACCAGUCUUUCAGCAAAGGAACCAAAGAUGAGGAUAGAAUCAUCAACUCCAAGGGUCAGUGAGUACUCUGUUUCCUCUACGUCUGAUUUGAAAGUCCCAGAUCACGUCCUGAAGGAAGAAGCCCCGGUUUCCACACAAGUAUCCGAUUCAACACCAAAUCCAAGUACCUCAGCUUGUCCAGAGAAAAGUGGUAGAAAAUCCCAGGAUCAUGUUGAGAAUAAUCUUUCAGCAAAGGAGCCAAAGAUGAGAAAAGAACAGUCCACCACAAGGGCCAGUGAGUAUUCCAUCUCCUCUGUAUCAAGUGAUUCUAUGGUCCCAGAUCACACCCUCAAGGAAGAAGCUCCUGUUUCCAUGCAAAUAUCCAACUCAACACCAAAUCCAAGUUCCUUUUUUUACCCAGAAGGAAGUCUUAAAACACCUCAGGAAUAUGUUCCGAAAACGGCUGCCUUAGAUACAGCAAAUGAAGGCAUAAAAAUCUAUCAGGAGAACCAAUUUUCUCUGCCUGGGAGAAUCUCUGGAUCGGGGCUUGUUACUUCAGAUGGUGAUUCAUCGAAUGUGAGUAAUGUCGACCAGCAGAUGCUUCAUCAAAGGGUAUUUCAUUCUGAGCGCAUUCCACGAGAUAUGGCAGAAAGUAAACGUUUGUCUAAAUCUGAUGAUUCCCUUGGUUCCCAAUUUGUAAUGGCUAAGUCAACUUCAGAUGCAUUCCUACCUAUUAGCGAAUCAGCUGAAACUUUUCAUGAAGCUAAUAUGGAGUCCCAGAAUGUUCAUUCUAGCGCACCAGUAAGGCCAGCUCCUGAAAGUCUCUGGACAGCUGAGGGUAGUAUCUCACAAUCUGAAAAAAAGGACUUGGAACGUAACGCCCCAGAGCACGUAAGUCAGUCAGAGGCUUCAGAUAAGGCUGUUCCGCGAGGACACCUAGAGAACGGGGAUAUUGUUGUUGAUAUUAAUGAUAGGUUUCCUCGUGAUUUUCUUGCUGAUAUAUUGAAAGUGAAAGAGUCUCUAAGCUUCCCUGGAUUAGGGCCAUUGCAUGGUGAUGGAGCUGGAGUGAGUGUAAAUGUUCAGAAUCUUGACCCUAAAAAUUGGUCGUAUUUUCGAAAUUUGGCGCAGGAUGAGUUUGAGAGGAAGGAUCUAUCCCUUAUGGAUCAGGACCACCCUGGAUUUCCCACUUCCCUUACUAAUACCGACGGAGUUCCUAUUGAUUAUAGCUACCCACCAUUGCAAUCUGAGAAAGUUGCUCCAACUCGGUUAAAACCACAAAUCCACUUUGAUGAGAAUAUCCAGCCGCAUGUGUCCACUACUGUCGUGGCUGAUUCGAGAACAGCAGACACACAAGAAGAUUAUGGUCAGUCACAGUUCAAAGGUGCUGAAACCACAGAUGCAAAUGUGGUACGCUUUUUUUUUUCAACCCAAAUAUGAAAAAUCUAAUAAAAUUUAACUACCGGAAAAAUACAUGUUUCAACUAAUAUAUUUGGAUAUGUAGAAUACUGGAGUUCCUCUUAUUGACCUUGUUGCUGAGGACAGUAGCCACAGGUCUCUGCAGGUAUGCUAUGCCUUAGUUAGUUUAUGGCUUAACAUGUUUACUAGGUGUUGCAUUUAACGCUCUCUUUUUAACCAGAUAACAUGUUUACAACCCAAGUACCAAAAGGAUUUUAUAUUUUAUCAACCAAGUUAUGACUUUCCAAUCAAUGAUUUAGCUGCCUUUCUAUUUUUUGGUAUUUGUCUGUUAUUGUUUUAAGGAAUUUUUUAGAAAGAUCACAAUGUACGCUGCUUAUAGACUAGACUAAAGUAGUGCAUGUCCCCAUUGGCAGCCGAAACCAUUGGAGCUUAAGAAUUAUAUCGUCAAUCUUGCUCCUGGUUUUCUCACUGAUUGUGUCCAUUUUAUUUUUGUUUCAGGUCAUUAAAAAUGAUGACUUGGAAGAACUGAAGGAACUAGGUUCUGGUACCUUUGGAACUGUUUACCAUGGAAAAUGGAGGGGUACAGAUGUUGCUAUCAAGCGAAUAAAAAGGAGCUGUUUCAUUGGUCGUUCAUCUGAACAAGAGAGACUGGUAAGUAGAUUUGAUAUCCCGUGGUUCUCCCAAAUUACAUUAUUUGUCUGCUUUAUGGUCAAUAGAGUACUGCUAGAAGACACUACUACUGUCCCCAGAACAGAGCCGUUUUGCUGUUCUUUUUUCUCUUGCAUGAAGCGGCUGUUAGAUGCUUGUUAUAAGCACGAAUUUGACAUCUCCUAUAUAGUAUAGUUUUACUAAAUUUGUCCUCCACUGCAGAAUAACGCUUCUUACUAUCCAUAAAACCGCAUUAGUUUAACUGAUUUUCAUUUUCAGUAACCAAUGAUUGAAAAUUUCAGACCUCUGAGUUCUGGCAUGAAGCUGAAAUUCUUUCCAAGCUACAUCAUCCAAAUGUGAUGGCAUUCUACGGCGUAGUGAGAGAUGGGCCAGGAGGGACUUUAGCUACAGUGACAGAGUACAUGGUCAAUGGAUCGCUUAGACAUGUUCUGCUCAGCAACAGGUAAUUAUUUACACAUCUCGUUGCUAUUCUUGCUUUCUAAAAACAACUUUAGAUGUAAACCAGUUCACAUUUGGGGAAUUACAGGCAGAUUGAUCGACGUAAGCGACUCAUCAUUGCAAUGGAUGCAGCUUUUGGAAUGGAGUAUUUGCACUCAAAGAACAUAGUGCAUUUCGAUUUGAAGUGUGACAACUUGCUUGUCAACUUAAAGGAUCCCGCCCGUCCUAUAUGCAAGGUAAUUUUCUCGGAGAGUUCGACAUGUAACAUUGCCAUGCAUGUUGUUUUGCUUAUGUGAUAAGAGGGAGGAUGGUUUAUGCAGGUUGGUGAUUUUGGUCUGUCAAAGAUAAAAAGAAACACUUUGGUCACUGGUGGUGUAAGAGGAACCCUCCCUUGGAUGGCUCCCGAACUACUUAGUGGCAGCAGCAGCAAAGUUUCUGAAAAGGUAUGUAACCCAAUGCUCUCACACUAGCGUUGGAAGAUGAAUUCAGUUUCUAUUCAUUUAGUUUCACUGCCCUUAAAUGAUUUUCAAGUAAUGUUUCGCCUUCAUUUACAAACAGGUCGAUGUGUUCUCUUUCGGAAUAGUUUUGUGGGAAAUUCUUACCGGUGAGGAACCCUACGCCAAUAUGCAUUACGGAGCAAUCAUUGGUAAAUUGCUGUCUCUUCUGUCGUUUACUCUCCGCGUUUCUUUUCUUACCAAACAAGGUUGAAGCUUAAUCUGUUUUGGUUGUCUGAAUCUUUCACCUAUUGUAGGAGGCAUAGUGAACAAUACACUGAGACCAACCGUGCCAAGCUACUGUGACCCGGAAUGGAGGAUGCUGAUGGAGCAGUGUUGGGCUCCUGACCCAUUUGUUCGACCUUCCUUCCCAGAGAUAGCCAGACGUCUCCGCACCAUGUCCACCUCUGCAGCAAAAGCCCACGCGGCCAAUCACCAAGUCCACAAGUAAUCUACUAUAUGUUCAUUAUUACCGGUACGUAAUUCCCUCUUGUAAAAGUUUGUGUAUAAAAAACAUCGCUGCGUCUUCU
rnacentral:lncRNA from 1 species